AUAAAGAAGUUUAUUUGGCUCACAGUUCUGCAGGCUGUACAAGCAUGGUACUGACAUCUGCUUGGCUCCUGGGAAGGCCUUAGGAAGCUUUUACUCAUGACAGAAGGUGAACAAGGAGCAGGCAUGUCACAUGACGAGAGAGGGUAGAAAGCUUGUUGCCUCCCAGCACCUGGUAAUCCCCGCAGCAGCAGGGAGGCUGCCAGGGUCCUGUUUGGGCAGCCAGUUCCUAGAUGACAGCACAAGGCUCUGGUCAGGGUGGUGAAGACAACGAUGGAGUUUGGCUCUUGGUGCCGUGGUGUCAGCCAAGUGGGAUCUUCUCCUCUCCCAGAGCCAGCGCCUCCCAAGUGCUCACCCAGCCCUCACAUCACCUGUCACCACAUGCUGUCAGGGUGCCUUUCACUCAGCUAAGUGUGAGACAACUGAUGGGAGAAAGCCUCCCAGGAUGGCUGUGGUUCAGUAGCCACAGCUCCAUCAGAACCCCCAGCCAUGCACUGAAUCUCCAAUCAGCUUCCCUGGGAAGCUCCUCUGCUCUGGAGGUUCAGAAUUCUAGGACUCCACCUGCCUGCUGGGGCUGAUACAGACCCCUACGCAAGAGGCCGGCAUAUGUGAAUAAGCACUCAUGGAGGGAAGAAGCUGGGAGAGACAGGCAGGUAACAACCCAGGUCUGUCCCUAAAGCAGCCCUCUUGGGCUGGGCGUGGCGGGGGAGUGCACAGGGCAGACUGGAGAACCACGCCCUGCUCAACAAAGCAGACAGACAAGUGCUGACAGUGCAGAGGGUGACCAAGCCUGGGAAGGCCCCAGGGGUCCAACACCAAAAUUAAAGGUUUAUUAUACAC
rnacentral:lncRNA from 10 species